rnacentral:pre_miRNA from 1 species
AAUAAGUGUAAUUUUACACCGUUUAUGUCCAACGUUGACUGUUCGUCUUAUUUGAAAAUUUAUUAUUAUUAUUAUUAUUAUUAUUAUUAUUAUUAUUAGAUGAUAAAACAUGAAUAUUAUUUUAUGUGUGACUAUUUUUUUUAAAUUUCUCAUUAAUUUUUCAAAUAAGACGGACGAUUAAACGUUGUAUACGGAUACCCACAACUGCGAUUAUU